GGAUGAACGCUGGCGGCGUGCCUAACACAUGCAAGUCGAACGAGAAAGCCAUGACUUCGGUUGGGCGAGUAAAGUGGCGCACGGGUGAGUAACGCGUAGGCAACCUACCCUUGAAUUUGGGAUAACAGUGCGAAAGUGCUGCUAAUACCGGAUACGACCCUUUUGUGCUGGGCAAAAGGGUGAAAGUCGGCCACUGGAACAAGCCGACGUUCGGGGAUGGGCCUGCGUCCUAUCAGCUGGUUGGUAGGGUAACGGCCUACCAAGGCGACGACGGGUAGCUGGUCUGAGAGGAUGAUCAGCCACACUGGCACUGGAACACGGGCCAGACUCCUACGGGAGGCAGCAGUGAGGAAUUUUGCGCAAUGGCCGCAAGGCUGACGCAGCAACGCCGCGUGGGUGAAGAAGGCCUUCGGGUCGUAAAGCCCUGUCAGGUGGGAAGAACGACACGGGGAGGAAUAUGCUCUGUGAGUGACGGUACCACCAGAGGAAGCACCGGCUAACUCCGUGCCAGCAGCCGCGGUAAUACGGAGGGUGCGAGCGUUAUUCGGAAUUACUGGGCGUAAAGCGCGUGUAGGCGGCCAACCAAGUCUGAUGUGAAAGCCCUGGGCUUAACCUGGGAAGUGCAUUGGAAACUGGCUGGCUUGAGUACUGGAGAGGAAGGGGGAAUUCCCGGUGUAGAGGUGAAAUUCGUAGAGAUCGGGAGGAAUACCAGUGGCGAAGGCGCCCUUCUGGACGGUUACUGACGCUGAGACGCGAAAGCGUGGGGAGCAAACAGGAUUAGAUACCCUGGUAGUCCACGCUGUAAACGAUGAGCACUAGGUGUAGCGGGUACUCAUUCCUGCUGUGCCGUAGCUAACGCGUUAAGUGCUCCGCCUGGGGAUUACGGUCGCAAGACUAAAACUCAAAGGAAUUGACGGGGGCCCGCACAAGCGGUGGAGUAUGUGGUUUAAUUCGACGCAACGCGAAGAACCUUACCUGGGCUUGACAUAACAGUGGUAGAGAAACGAAAGUGGACCGACCCUUCGGGGAGCUGUUACAGGUGUUGCAUGGCUGUCGUCAGCUCGUGUCGUGAGAUGUUCGGUUAAGUCCGCUAACGAGCGCAACCCGCGCUGUGUGUUACAAGUGUCACACAGUACCGCCGGUAUUAAGUCGGAGGAAGGUGCGGAUGACGUCAAGUCAGCAUGACCUUUAUAUCCAGGGCUACACACACGCUACAAUGGUCAGCACAAUAGGUUGCCAAGCCGCAAGGCGGAGCCAAUCCUCCAAAGCUGGCCUCAGUUCAGAUUGCAGGCUGCAACUCGCCUGCAUGAAGUCGGAGUUGCUAGUAACCGCAGGUCAGCAUACUGCGGUGAAUACGUUCCCGGGGAU
rnacentral:rRNA from 1 species